AUACGGAGGAUGCGAGCGUUAUCCGGAUUUAUUGGGUUUAAAGGGUGCGUAGGCGGUUUUUUAAGUCAGCGGUGAAACGCAAGGGCUCAACCCUUGACCUGCCGUUGAAACUGGAGGACUUGAAUGCGGAUGCUGUGGGAGGAAUGUGUGGUGUAGCGGUGAAAUGCAUAGAUAUCACACAGAACACCGAUUGCGAAGGCAUCUCACAAAUCCGUGAUUGACGCUGCGGCACGAAAGUGUGGGGAUCAAACAGGAUUAGAUACCCUGGUAGUCCACACUGUAAACGAUGAUAACUCGCUGUCGGCGAUACACAGUCGGUGGCCAAGCGAAAGCGAUAAGUUAUCCACCUGGGGAGUACGACCGCAUGGUUGAAACUCAAAUGAAUUGACCGGU
rnacentral:rRNA from 1 species